rnacentral:rRNA from 1 species
GUGUCAGCCGCCGCGGUAAUACGGAGGAUCCGAGCGUUAUCCGGAUUUAUUGGGUUUAAAGGGUGCGUAGGCUGACUGAUAAGUCAGCGGUGAAAAGCAUAGGCUUAACCUAUGUCUUGCCGUUGAUACUGUCAGACUAGAAUAUAAUGGUGCAGGCGGAAUGAAUCAUGUAGAGGUUACAUUCAUAGAUAUGAUUCAGAACACCGAUCGCGAAGGCAGCUUGCAAAGAUAUUAUUGACGCUGAUGCACGAAAGCGUGGGUAGCGAACAGGAUUAGAUACCCUGGUAGUCCACGCUGUAAACGAUGAUAACUCGUUGUCGGCGAUAGACAGUCGGUGACUAAGCGAAAGCGAUAAGUUAUCCACCUGGGGAGUACGAUCGCAAGGUGGAAACUCAAAUGAAUUGACGG